CCUACGGGAGACAGCAGUGAGGAAUAUUGGUCAAUGGACGAGAGUCUGAACCAGCCAAGUAGCGUGAAGGAUGACUGCCCUAUGGGUUGUAAACUUCUUUUAUCUGGGAAUAAAAUGUUCCACGUGUGGGCUUUUGUAUGUGCCAUAUGAAUAAGGAUCGGCUAACUCCGUGCCAGCAGCCGCGGUAAUACGGAGGAUCCGAGCGUUAUCCGGAUUUAUUGGGUGUAAAGGGAACGUAGGUGGAUUGUUAAGUCAGUUGUGAAAGUUUGCGGCUCAACCGUAAAAUUGCAGUUGAAACUGGCAGUCUUGAGUACAGUAGAGGUGGGCGGAAUUCGUGGUGUAGCGGUGAAAUGCUUAGAUAUCACGAAGAACUCCGAUUGCGAAGGCAGCUCACUGGACUGCAACUGACACUGAGGCUCGAAAGUGUGGGUAUCAAACAGGAUUAGAUACCCGAGUAGUC
rnacentral:rRNA from 1 species